rnacentral:rRNA from 1 species
GUGGGUAACCCUGCCCAAGAGAUCGGGAUAACACCUGGAAACAGAUACUAAUACCGGAUAACAACAGAUGAUGCCUAUCAACUGUUUAAAAGAUGGUUCUGCUAUCACUCUUGGAUGGACCUGCGGUGCAUUAGCUAGUUGGUAGGGUAACGGCCUACCAAGGCGAUGAUGCAUAGCCGAGUUGAGAGACUGAUCGGCCACAUUGGGACUGAGACACGGCCCAAACUCCUACGGGAGGCAGCAGUC